CCUUAUCAGUGCGCUGCUGGAUUACCAGUACUCGCCCUUAGGUAUGCGAUUGCUAUGUCGUAUCAUGUGGAGACUCGGAUCUCCUUUUAUAUAUGUGAAUACUGGUAGGGAGUCGUCAACCCGUAGGAGGGGACCACGCCCUGUAGCAAAUAUUACAUAUCUCAAAGUGUUGACAUUGACAUUACGUUAAUGAGACGCUGCCACAUCGUACCCGCCUGAAUCUGCCCGAGGAGAGGAGAGAGAUGUUUUCCUCGUACCUGCCGAGGUCAGUUUUGCGUUGUCGGCUACUUCUUUGGCCGAGAGUCUCUCACGUUCAUCAUCGUCAAGAGCGACUACUGAUACAAGGGCUCAAUGUACUCUACCAGGAAAUACAGUGCGAUUCGCAGCGGAACAAAAAAUUGAUCAGCUUUGGCUGUUGAGAUUGCGUGUGAAAGAUGCGGCAUUUUUCUUAUACUUGUGUGGGCGUUUUAAUAACGGAUAGAUCACGCAACAACUUAGGGGAACAAAAGCCCUUUUCCUUGGAAUUCGAGAUAAUCUCGGCACGCCCGGUGACCCUAUUGUCUAUUAGUAGUAUAAGUGCACGAAGCACAAUCGAGCAUACGUAAUCCGUGGGCUGAGAAGCAUCGAUCUCGCGGCGAUCCAUAAAUGCCGAUCAGGAAGAUCGAAUGAUUAUAUGUCGUUAAGCGAACAGUGAAUUCUUCGCGUGUUAAGAUAAUUACAAGUUAAAUAAGAUGCUGAGAUUUACUUAUAUGGAAGAUUGCUUCAUUAUAGGAGAAAUCUAUUCAAAAUUGAUGAAUAAGUAAAAGAAAGAAUCUUUGAUACUAUAUUUAAAAUUAAUCAUAAAUAAAACAUAAUUAAAAUAAAAUAAAUACGUAUUAAAGGUUUAAUGUGUAAAAUUGACUACAGUGCAAUAAUCAUUUGUCAAAUCUGCAUUUUUUGUAGAUUAAAAAACUUAUUACAAUUAAAAUAACGUUUUAAAAUAUAUAGAGCUUAAUCUCGGAAUCAUUUGCUUGAAAGAAACAUGAAAUGUUGCGAACCUUGAAUUGAAUUUGACUGUGACAUAUUCAGAAUAGUUCGAGAUAUAGUUAAGUGAUCGGAUCAAUCAUUCAUCUGAUUAAUUCGCGAGUGCAAAAAGAGGAUAUGUUAUCCGAGCAGAUGUAUGUUGAUAGCGAAUGAAUAUAUUUUUAUGAUGUAAAUCAUAUUAUAGUGUAAAUUAUCUUUUACAGUUAAAAGUAACAUUCACAGGCAAAUAAACAAUAUUAUCUUAAUAUCAAUUAAGAUUUAAUUGUAGUACAUAUAUAUUGUCGUUAAUAUAAGAAAUAUUUAAUCUAUUUAGUGUGCGUUAGUGAUACCAUAAUGAAAUAAGAAAGAGAAAUCAGAUAAUAAAAAGAUGCUUUAUAUUUCUUAUGAUCUAAAACAUAUUUUAGAUAACAAUAAUCAUGAGUCUUGUGGUUCAGUCUGAAAGUUACGAUCGAAGCGAAAUACUAAAUAAUUUACGACGUAUCGUGAAACUCGAAGAGAGAUUACAUCAUGUACUACAUAAUAAAAUUGAGAAAUGCGUUCUUCACGAAA